UAUCUCUGUAGAGUCUGCAUAUCAAUAAGCGGAGGAAAAGAAACUAACAAGGAUUCCCCUUAGUAACGGCGAGUGAAGCGGGAAGAGCUCAAAUUUGAAAUCUUCAAGGUUCUACCUUGACGAAUUGUAGUUUAUAGAAGUGUUUUCUGUUAGUAGAGUGGCAAAAGUUCUUUGGAAUAGGACAUCAUAGAGGGUGAGAAUCCCGUAUUUGGUCAUUCUUUCUAGCUUUGUGAUACACUUUCAACGAGUCGGAUUGUUUGGGAAUGCAGUCCAAAAUGGGUGGUAAAUUUCAUCUAAAGCUAAAUAUUGGCGAGAGACCGAUAGCGAACAAGUACCGUGAGGGAAAGAUGAAAAGAACUUUGAAAAGAGAGUUAAACAGUACGUGAAAUUGUCAAAAGGGAAGCGUUUGACACCAGUGUUGUUUUUCCGAAAAUCAAUUACGAAUGUUUUGUUUUUAAGAAGUUAUGACUUCAUCGGCUUGCUUCCUUUCUUUACGAAACUUUCUUAAUGCACUUUUCGGUUAACAAGUCAACAUCAAUUUCUUUUGUUGUAAAAGGGUAUGAGGAAGGUGGCUUUCUUUUCGGAGAAAGUGUUUAUAGCCUUGUGCCUCUGCAAUCGGAGAGAUUGAGGUCUGCAGCGUAGAUCCUUCGGGGUUAGAUACGUUUGUGCUAAGUUAUAGCUUUUCAUAGACAACUUGUUGACUAUGUUUAGUCUUGUAGCUUACUCGCUGACGCUAUUUUACCUACGCUUAGGAUGUUGACGCAUGAGAUAUACGC
rnacentral:rRNA from 1 species